GCUUACAGCCAUACCACCCUGAGCACGCCCGAUCUCGUCUGAUCUCGGAAGCUAAGCAGGGUCGGGCCUGGUUAGUACUUGGAUGGGAGCCCGCCUGGGAAUACCAGGUGCUGUAAGCU
rnacentral:rRNA from 1 species